AACAUCGCGCACCUGCGGGAACCUGCGGAGGGAUCAUUAAUGAUUGGUGGCUGUUGCUGACUAGUGUUUCUAGUAUGUGCACGCCACACCUUCAAUCCCACUUACACCUGUGCACCUUCCGUAAUAGAUCUAUGUGGAUACGGAGAUAUGAAAGUUUGCGCUCUCGUACUCUGUUGAAGCAGUCUACUACGUUUUUUUACACACACACAAUAGUCAUUGAAUGUAUUUUUUAUUCUUAUG
rnacentral:misc_RNA from 1 species